GGUUGGUUACCUCUUGCCCCUUCUUGGCUGAUCCCAAAGUUCAACAAAGAUUAAAAGCAAUUUAUCCAGCCACUCUGAAAAAAAACGGCCUGUCAGGAGCCUUCUUUGGAGCAGAGUGUUUUUCCUCAAAAGAAGCCCCAGAUUGCCCUCAGUGCAAGGACAGGAUUUUGGUGUGUCUUCCCCAGUGUGUCUGUGGGUCUGUCCUGCACCCAGAGAAGCGUGGCGUGUCUGGCAUGGGCCCUUGCUUUUUCUCUAAAGAUAUGGAUGUGUA